GGGUUGUGAGGUUAAGCGACUAAGCGUACACGGUGGAUGCCCUGGCAGUCAGAGGCGAUGAAGGGCGUGCUAAUCUGCGAUAAGCGCCGGUAAGGUGAUAUGAACCGUUAUAACCGGCGAUACCCGAAUGGGGAAACCCAGUGUGAUUCGUCACACUAUCAUUAACUGAAUCCAUAGGUUAAUGAGGCGAACCGGGGGAACUGAAACAUCUAAGUACCCCGAGGAAAAGAAAUCAACCGAGAUUCCCCCAGUAGCGGCGAGCGAACGGGGAGGAGCCCAGAGCCUGAAUCAGCAUGUGUGUUAGUGGAAGCGUCUGGAAAGGCGCGCGAUACAGGGUGACAGCCCCGUACACAAAAGCGCAUGUGCUGUGAGCUCGAUGAGUAGGGCGGGACACGUGGUAUCCUGUCUGAAUAUGGGGGGACCAUCCUCCAAGGCUAAAUACUCCUGACUGACCGAUAGUGAACCAGUACCGUGAGGGAAAGGCGAAAAGAACCCCGGCGAGGGGAGUGAAAAAGAACCUGAAACCGUGUAC
rnacentral:rRNA from 2 species